AGAAACUUGAUUCUCAUACAACUAUACGACUAGAACAAUUGUAGAUGAAUUAGUGGCUAGAAAUCACUGUUUCCAGAACAUACGAAAGAAAAACAAAACAUCAUGGACGGAAGACAAAUUGUCCCCAUAUCUUUGAACCAGGCACACGGACGGCCAUCACCCACCUUGGCCCACCCCUCUGUGUCCACUGAGCUGGAUGAUGGCACACUGCUGGCAGAGGGAACUAGGUUGGAGGAUGCACAUGUGACACGGUUUCUCUGUUCGACAUCUUCAGCAAAUCCUCAAUUUCAUCUUUCUUCCAGGAAUCGGAGAAUUACAGGGAUGCUGGCG